AACGAACGCUGGCGGCAGGCCUAACACAUGCAAGUCGAGCGAUGAAGCUUCUUCGGGAGUGGAUUAGCGGCGGACGGGUGAGUAACGCGUGGGAACGUGCCCUUGGGUAAGGAACAACAGUUGGAAACGACUGCUAAUACCUUAUGAUCCUCUUUCGGGAGGCAAAGAUUUAUCGCCCAGGGAUCGGCCCGCGUUGGAUUAGGUAGUUGGUGGGGUAACGGCCUACCAAGCCUACGAUCCAUAGCUGGUUUGAGAGGAUGAUCAGCCACACUGGGACUGAGAUACGGCCCAG
rnacentral:rRNA from 1 species